GCCAGAUUAGCAAGACACGCGCACACACUCUACGUUUAAGUCACACCCUGCAAUGCAGAGAAAAUAUUUCAAUAGGCAUCUGCAGGCGGCCGAGAAGAACUGGAGCAAUGAUUAUUUUCCUCCUUUUUUGAUUUUCUGUUUCUAAAGAAAGCACUGGUAUCAAGGACGAGUUAGGUAAUGCGUAUUAAAAGGCAAGCAGGUCGCUCUCGUUUACGCCCAAUCAUAGUUCAUAGUUCAAGGAAAACUGCCUUUAAUUGACACCGUGUAUAUUCCUCUGCUCCUCUCAGGCUGCCCUGGCAGGGACGCCCCAAGAGUAUUUAUUUCUAGGGUUGGAAACAAAACAACCAACCCCGUCUACUGCGUAAGAGAGCGUUCCAAGAUGGACUGCCGGAGAAAGGCUUUUUGACCCCUGUGGAAAUUAGUCAUAUUGACAGACGCCCAGGGAAGGUAAAUUACCCCGCGCGCUGACGUUACGCAGAGGCGCACCGGGUUCCGACUCCACCGCGGCGCCGAGGGGGCCAGAGGCUCCCAGUUCUUCCCCGCAUAGUUCGACAAAGCCCUACUUUGCUUCCCUGGGUCUGGGAUCUCAACGUGAAGGGGGCCGAGAGAGCGGUGAUAAGGUGCUAGAAAGGAAACGGCAAGAGGAAACUAAAAAAGUGGAGAGAAAUUUUGUGCGCCGUAGUGCUUAGCAAGCUGGGGAAACGAGGAGAAAACGAGCAAAGUCUACAGGGGAGGGAGAGAGGGAGGAGGCAGGGAAGGAGAGGACCACGAGGCUCCCGGCGCCCAGGCCGCCACUUGGGAGGUCCCGGCCCCAAAGCAGGCCGGGCCAACCGUCCCCCCGGGAGGCUCGGGGCUCGGGCGGGGUCACAAUUACACCUCGGCUCCAGGCGAGGACUUAAAAACCAAGUGGUGGGGACUGCAGUCUGGAAGCAAGGCCCUGCGGUCAUCGGAGGGGGGCCAGGCCCGUGCACAGGAACCUUUUACAAGGCAUGUGGGUACAAGAAAAAAAAUCAAAAUAAACCACUUUCAUCCAGCAUGGGCAGUGAAAAGAAAAGCUGCCUUCCAGAGGGGGCGAGCGGGAGUUUUGAAAUUCAUUGUGUGUUUUGCCUUUAUAUAAGGAGUUUUGCGUUUUUUACCGAUAACCAAAGGGGGACACUAGGGGGAAGUAACUGCUAUUUUUUUUUUCUGGAGAGGGCUGAAAUAAGGGGUUCACCGGUUCUUUCACAAUCAGAUGGUGUCCCAGGACUGCAAGUAACUGCGUACAUCCACACAGCGCAUUACACCAACCUGAGAAGAAUCCUUGCGUGACCGGAUUGUUUCUGGUAUAAAAUAGGGCCUAACGGUCCCAUCUCUUUUCUUUUAAAAAACUGAGUCUGUGGAGGGGGCUUAUUGGAAAGCAUCAAAAGAGUGGCAUCUGAUUUUCUGAUUUUACCGGAGAUUGGACUGGAGGUCUUCUUUACUAAGAGUAACAGGCGUAGCCACAAAAGAGCCUGGUCUGGUCGCAAAGUAAAGGCAAAACUAGUGUGGGCCCUUAGCCUCGCCGGCCCCGGCCCUCGGAAUGCAAAAGGCGAAAGCUCCCUCCUGGGCAGGGCCAGAGCGAGAGCGAGUGAGGAGCUCCUCCCGGACCUCGGGCCUAGCUUCGGAGGUAUUUUUAGCUCCUCUCUCUGCUCCCCAGAGGCUCUUUUGUAAGCUUAACAGAGGCUCAGCAAGCUGCCCUCACCCCGAAGGGCUGUGGGAGGAGGCUGCCCUAGUAUCUUGAAGAAAAAAGAAAUUGCCUAUCCUUAAGUUUAAAACAAUAUUCGCUCUCUCUAGGCUCCCCUUCUGUUCUCUCGUUUUUUUCGCCCGCAGGAACACUCCAAGUUCCACAGUUAAAGAGGACCGGGAGGGCAGGAAUGGGUGGGGCCUGGAAAUCAGCUCCGAAACUGGGUGCGGCACACCUUCCUCUGCCUUUCUGCCUCUCUCCCGGCCACUGCUGCUCCACGGGAGCCAGUCUUGGAUACCUAGGGUGGGGGACAGGGGGACGGGAAGAGCCUCGGUUGUCUCCAGAACCUGCCGAGCCCCUGCUGCAUCUGGGACCCGCCUUCACCGUUUCCCAAUCCCAGCGGUUAGCCCCUGCGCCCCCUUUUUGGUCUCCACUUUGCCGUUCGAAAAUGCCUAGGUUGGUGGAUCGACCCUCCGCGGAGCAAAGACGGAUGGCUGGCAGGAGCAGGUUCAGGAGCUGGGCCAAGUUUCACACGAAGAGACUUGGAGUAUCUGGAGAAGGUUUUUGAAGACGUUUAGGAGGGAGGGUGAGUUUUCUGCUGAGAAACUCAAUCUGCCAUACAGUAGCGGCCCCAUCUGGGAUCUGUCACUGCUGACAGCACCAGAGGGCACAGCCGUGAUCUUCUGCACAGCCUGCACUCCCCGAAAUACCCUCCUUAAUCAAAGGAUGUCUGCGCGCCUGAGCUCAGCUGACCGCGCCGGGAGCACCAGGGCCGUUGGAUUCCACCCCAGCCCGCCCCCUCCCCACGCACACAGCCACGGCCCCUCGCGUCUUCGCGGCACGUUAAUUAAAUGCGGAAAACAGACAGAGGCUGAUGUCAUUGCUCUCACAAGAUCAUAAACGUAAAAGAGUCAUCCUGUGAGAAUCCCUGAAAAUGACUUUAAUGAAUAAUUUCAGAGACAGUUAUGACUUUGGGUGAUUACUGAGCAAGAAUAUGAAAACCAGAUUUGCAAAGCGAAGGCGAUGGUCAAAAGGCCUGGCAGUUACUUUCUCUCAUUAAAACCGCACCGGCUUUCCUUCUUCGCCAAGUACUAGUUACCAACUGAGGUUGCGUUUUCAGGUUUUCUUCUUCAAAAUAACAGUCUUCUUUUCCUGCUUUUCUGCCUUAUCCUAAAGACAAAAUGUCAGCUCCAGGGAACGACAUUAACAACCCACUUUAAAUUGAAGGCAACUCUGCACUGGCGUCAGUGGCCAUUGGCUUCCAUCUUUUUACAAAGGUUGGAUUUACUGCCAUCUUAGGAUCAUAUCUCUUUUGGCCUCUUCUCUAGGCAAUGUAUUUAAUGAAGGUUGAACAUUCUCACUGACCCUGAGUCAGUGCACUGUUUGUUGUAAAGGAUCUCAGCUGGUGGGGCAAAAAACAAGUUCCAAACAACCUGCCUUUACAGAAGAGUCUCCCUGACUCUUUAGUUCUAGGUCACCAAUGAACUGAAAAAUGAUUUGGUGCUACAUUAAGGAAUAUUUUCAAACACUCCAUCUGGCCAUGGAGAAGCAUCCAGUUGGUUAUAUCUGGUUGCUCAUGCAUUAAAAAUACUAUUUGAGAAAACAACUAGGGUGUUAGUUGUGGAAGUGGCCUGGUGAGUACCCUCUGAUCUUUUGCACGAAGUUUAGCUGCCUGCAAGUCUGUCUUCUUUGCUUGAAAAUAUAAACUGGGACUCUCUGGGCCUGUGUCCCAUGUGGAUUUAUUCCACUUAAUUCAAGUAAAAGUUUGUUUAUACUCUGAGCAAGAAAGUAUUAUAGGCACAAGUGAUGUGGAGUUUUCAGUUUGCUUGUUUUUUGCUGUUGUUUGUUUGCUUUUGAGCGAUCUGAGUGAUUUAGAAAACUAAUGUGUCUCAGUCGGCUCCACCAUUCAGACAGAUCAUAGAGAACCCACUUACCAGCACUCUAGAAAACUGUACUUUGUGCAGACAUUGCCUGAUCCUCCCCUUUCUAGAAGCACAGAUAGGCCAGAAUCCUUCAGUCACUGAGGACACAAUUGUCUAAAAGCCUCAUUCCCUAUCAUUAGCCCCCAAACCGCAGAGCUGUUUCCUUCCCUCUUGGCUCCAGAUAGGGGUGGGUGGGAGAGGGGACUAGGCUCUCCAUGUGACAUUUCCCUGACUUGAGAGGAAAUGUUUCUUUCUGAUUCUAGAUUACAUGAAGACACUUUGGAGUUGGUGUAUAGGGUUUCCUCAAAGAACUGAGGUAACGUGGACUUUAGGGAAUUUUCCUCAAUUGGAUUCCCUGUUUAUUUGUGAUACUAUUUGUGUCCCCCAAAUAGAUCUUCUUGUUGCUCCACUCACAUCAUGAGCAGUUUUCCUUUUCCUCUAGUUACAUUCACUCUAGCUUCUGACUGAAGACUCUGCUUGCCCUUUGUAGCCCGUGCAGGAAUAAACAGCAUCUUCUGGAUUUGCUUUGAAUCCUUGUGCUGCCCAAUGAGUCAGAGGUGUAGGGUUGAUCCAAUAAUAUGGCUAAUUCUCUCCCUGUAAAGACUUUAAAUAAUGUAGGCCUCUCUUCACCCAUCCCCCAUUCUCACCAUCCUGGACUUCACGCGGGUCAUGGAGAAGGUGUCCAGGGUGGGAGGCACGCUGGGUGGGUGUGGCCUCCUUUGGCACAGUGGUUCGGCAUCCUCUGGGGGAGAUUUUGAAAACUGCAGGCUCCGCGUCGAGCCCCUGACCUGCUGAAUCAGAAUUUCUGGUGAAGGUAGGGUGAAAACGGGGCUGAAUUUGUCAUUGUAUCAAGUUGUCCGGGGAGUGGAAAGUCCAGGUGUUGGAUUAAUCCCAGCACCCCUUACUUCAGAAGAGACCAGGCUAUCCCGCAGAACGCUAGGGUCAGAGGUCUGGGGCAUCAGUCAGCCCGUCCAGGAAUUAUGCAAAUAUAUGCAGCCUCUACUCUGAACACUGGGACGUAGUAGGGGACAAAGCUGCCGCCAGCCGUCCUCGUCCUUGCGAGGUGUCAGUGUUUGCGCCAGGGACAACUCCCUGGAGGGCUGGGGGAAGGGAGGGGCAAAAGAGGGUCCAGGGCCUCAGCUCGCUAUGUACUUUAGGGUUUAAUAACAGGUGCAAAGGCAGCUGCUAAAAGACAUCGCAUUCUGUAAUCAGCUUCUGCCAGGCUGUCCGGCUAAACAGAAACUCCCACAAUUUUGGCCCGAGGGCUGUAGGGCGGAGCGGGUGCCAGUGAGAUGAGGGCAACCCUAAGAGGUGGCAUAAGAGCCUUACCCCUAAGAGCCACCCCAACCCCAUCCGGGGCUUGCACCGGCACCGCCUGGGCCGCAGUUGUUGCCUCAGGGAAGCUUCGCCCUGGCGCAGGGAUAGAGCAAAGAAGCGACCGCAUGUGGAAGGCUUUCCAGGCGGAAUGCUCCAGCCGUAGCGAGUUGGAAAAUUUAGAGUGGGGAGGGGGCAGUAGAGAUGUUAACUGGCCCCUCCUCACCCCAAACAAGGAAAACACAGUCUUCUGGGCUAAAAAUACAUAUUUAUGAAGUCCCUAUACGCAGGCAGGCGGCGCGUUCCAGCUGCCGGCCUGGCCCAGGGAGGACUUGGCCGCGCGGCCGCCGAUUACACCCAACUCGGCUGGGAUGGCUCCGAGCCGUCUGCCCUGACGUCAGCGAGGCUCCGGCCCCGCCGCGGCAAGAUAGGCGAGCGCGGCCGGGCGCGGGUGCGGCACUAAUCACUCCCAGAUGUCCCUAAUAGCGGAGAUAAAGACGGACAGAGCGGCCGGGAAUAAAUUUGUAAUCAGGGCUCUACCAUCUGAUCAUCAAAGCGGCCCAAAUGCCGGGAGAAUUUGAAGGGAAUGCGUGUGAGGGGGGUCGCUUGGGGGAAGAGCGAUCCGCAGGCUCUGACAGGCCAGGAGUCGCGCGCGUCCGGGAGACUCCUUAGCGCCCCCUCCUCACGUGGAGAUCUGGACUCUCAGGAGCUGGGCCCAAUGGAAGGAAUGGGUACCCUUGGGUCACCAGGGUCCAGAUUCGGCCCUCUACGGCGCCCAUGCCACAAGCCUCCCUCAAGACCAUCUCUGCUUGGCACCCACUAGCCAGCUCCUUUUCCAAAUCUAGGAGCCUGGGUGGGACUCACAGGCAGGGAGAACUCAAGGCGGCUGUGGAAAACAAAAUCGCGUGCCGCCCGCGCAAUAUUUGAUUAAAGCUUCAGGGCUAACUGAGCGGUUUCUUGCGCUUUGCAGGCCCGCAGUGUAUGUUCAGUCCCAGUUUUCCUGGCACCCUUUGCCCUGCUUAUGUCCCCUGCACACACCUCAGGCCCUUGCAACUGGCCCGGGUUCUCUCUGCAAAUCUGUAGUCUGGGAAGGAACUCCCGGGUCUCGUACUCCCUGCCGCUUUGCAUUUGAGCUCUCACCUUCCUCACCCCUUCCUGCGAAUUCCAGGUGCGCUUACCUCUCUUGUUCUCCUGCUACUUCACCAAUCCGAGCGGGAGACUAGCUCUGCAAUUCACGCCAAGCUGGGGCAGCGGCUAGCAGAGUCUGGUCGAAGGAAUUGAACCACCUUCCACUCCCGACACACGCACAAGUGCUAAGAGGCCCCCAGGCUGCGCUCCCUGGCACGGCUGCUACGCUCACCUCAUCACGACCAAGCAGCCUGGUGCUCCUACACCUAAGGAGGCAACCCAGACCCAGAGGUCCACCCUUCCUAGAUGCCUGGGCCUGCUGGCUAACCCAUCCCGAAAGCUGGAGCUUGCUGUCUCGGCCUGGAAAAGCCCUUUAAGUUGCUGUCAGUGCCCAGGCAAUUGGGAGCGGGGCCCCCACUCUGCAGUUUUUCAAAUUGCUUCCCAAGCUGAGAAGGGGUUUGCGCGCGCGCACACACACACACACACACACACACACACACCGUCUACAACUGGCCAAGCCUUUGCCCCUCCGGUGCUCCAGGGUUAUCAGACGCUGGGCCUGCACAGCGGUCUGGGGCAGAGCCCUGACAGCCAGAUCUACCAUCAAUUUACCUUCCGCCGCCGCAGCUUCCCAUUUAGCUUUUAACGUCAAAUCCUACAUUUUUGUCGGCUCCGGCCUGUCUAGAACGCUUGUGAUUUCCCUGCAGGAGUGAUUGCUCUUAACAAAAUGGCAGCAACCACAUUAUCCGAGCAAUUAAAACAGAGGCCUUUUAGCCGGUCCCGCAAGUAGAGGCUUGGAAAAUUUUUUUAAACAAAGAAGAAAAAGUUAAAAGAGAAAUAAGUGUUGGAAGAGAAAAGCAUGGAAGCUCAGAAGAAACGUCUGCCCAGUACGCCUUUCACUUCCUGGGACUUGACAACCUGGGGCGGGGAUGUUGGGUGGCUGAGAGCGGCUGGGGUGACAGAUAAUCUGGGGUGUCCUGCAGGUUGAAGCAUCUGGUCAGUUGGGGUGUGCGUCUGGUUAGGGGGUUCAGCCGCCUGCAGUGUCAGGCAGCUGGGCAUUCUGCCGUCUGGGGUGUCCGGUCUGCUGGGUGUCUGGCUGGUUAGGGUUUCUGGCGAGUUGAAAUGGCAGGGCGGGUGGGGUGACCAGGCCUAGUGUUGCUGGCCCUGAGGAAGAGGAGGCAGGCUGUGCUUGGCCGGGGCCAAAGAGGAGCGCAGGUUUAAAAAGCAAGUGUAUUAGCAAGUUUCUCCGUAGCAAUGGUGCGCCAGGGUCUUUUGGUUUCCCUCUGUUGUUGUUUAAUAAGCCAGAGAAAGUGUUAAAUCUGCAGAAGUGCCUUAAGGCCCAGAUGGCGGAGACCAGCUACACAAGGUGCAGAGAAGCGUAGGUGCAUGGUGAAGAUAACUCCUCUCCGUUUCCUGUUUUUAAAACCUCACCUCCUCCGCCACUGUUUACUCCAACACUUUGGUAGGCUCCUUUCUUCCACGUCUAGGACCUGAUGGCUUUCUCCUGAGCAGAUUAAAAUAAAGACGCGGAAGACAACUGGAAUCAGGAGAGGGAGGGAACCACUGGAUCAAACGCAGGAGGAUUGGGAGAGCAACAGAAAAUCAGGGCGCGCCUCCCCCACACCUCCUCCCCAUGCUAUAAACAAAGGCAAGUGUCUGUAAACACAGCCCCGCGCCCACCAGGUCGGCCCAGCGCCGGCUGACCCAAGGGGAGAAAGUUCAGAUCGCUUUGGCCGAGUUGUUCUAACCCCUCGCCCUCGCGUUGUCAGCCGCCCGCAGAAGUCCGCAGAGCCUCUAGCUUGUCUCUCCCUGGGCACUUCUGAAUUCGCCCACGCCGGGUCUGAUUCGGCCUGCUGCAGGCAGAGGGGUCAUAGUGGACACCAGCUAGGCGUGGGAACCCUUGGGACAUCGCGGGAGGGUCUGUGCCCGAGGCCAAGUUGCGAACAUCACCCUGAGGAUGGGUUCCAGGAUGGAAACCCUCUGGCAAGCCUCUCCAACACCAGAUUUAUAUACGCGGCGUUCCAUGAAACAAACCACUUUUUAAUACGGUUCA
rnacentral:lncRNA from 1 species